CGGCCUCUUCAUGGUUCCCAUUUGCUUGUGGGAUCCCAAGAUCUCAUGGGAAGAGCAGAAGUGGAGGUGUGCAUGAUGUACCAUCACCCACUCAAACCACUGACCUUGGCCACGCAUCUCCUCUGCCCACCUGCAACCUCACAGUGGGAACAAAACUCUGGGAAGCCACGGCACCCAGCUGCUGUGCAGCAAGAAACAAUUACAGCUUGUAACUCCUCAUAAAACUUUGUAUCUGUUUGUAAACAAAUUGGAAAAGUGAGAUGCAAAUUUAACGUGCUAUAAACUUUAGUUGCUGGUAGGUGUGCUUUUGAUCUUUGGAUGGAGCCUGACUAGCUGUUUCCUGCUGCUAUGUUUUUAUGCUAAACUAAGCUGAGCUAAUCAGCAUUUGACUCCAGCUCCAAAGAGUCAGUCGGAGCUGGACUGACAACACUGACAAUACCUCAAUACCUGUGUAAAUGUUGGCCAAAAUGCUAAAAAUAUGGUGCGAAACAAUGUCACCAUUCUAAAAUCAGAGCAGUGAAAAAACUAUUUUUCACCUGUAAAAUGUCCUGCACAAUACACUUCUACAUAUUUAAUUGUAAAAAUAAAAUUAGCUGAUGUAUUAUUGUUUAAAUAUCCAUCUCAAUUAUGGCUAUAGUCAGUGAGUAGUAUCAUUUACUAAUGCAAGUCAUAACAUUAAA